rnacentral:rRNA from 1 species
UACGUAGGGUGCAAGCGUUGUCCGGAAUUAUUGGGCGUAAAGGGCUCGUAGGCGGUCUGUCACGUCGGGAGUGAAAACUCGGGGCUUAACCCCGAGCCUGCUUCCGAUACGGGCAGACUAGAGGUAUGCAGGGGAGAAUGGAAUUCCUGGUGUAGCGGUGAAAUGCGCAGAUAUCAGGAGGAACACCGGUGGCGAAGGCGGGUCUCUGGGCCGUAACUGACGCUGAGGAGCGAAAGCAUGGGGAGCGAACAGG